UCGCGCUGCCAGCAGCUUCCGCCUGCUACGGUCCUGGCAAGCACCUCGGGAUCCCAUUCCUUCACAGGGACCCUAGCCAGUUAAAGCUGAUACAUUCCUGUGGGUCAACUAUGCAACUAACUCAGAUUUUGAGCAAACAAAGCUCUCAAGUUGGUGAUCCUCAGGAGUCUCUGCAUUAGUUGGACAGCUCUUCUGGAAUUAUCUUCUAAGUCAACUGUGGGUUGGGUAGGUGGCUCUGCUGAUUUUUCGCUGGACUUCCACAUUUGGGACGAGUUGGCUGUCAUCAGCUCUAGAAAGGGUGUGGCCGUUUUACAUUGGCUGUUUUCCUCACAUUCCUCAAGCAGGUACUGUAAUAAAGAACUGGAGAAAUACAGUCAGAUGGGAAGUAGCCCUUGCUGUCAAGGAGCUUGCCAUCUAAUGGGGGAGACAGGCAAGUAAACCAAAGACUACACAGUGCAGUAUGAAUUUCCUUUCAUCUCUGGUAAAAGUCAGCUCUCUAACUACUGCAUCUCACAGCUGAACAGAUAACUGAUACCGUGCUUCCAGAAGAUUUUUCUAACAGUGUUUGCAAGCUAUAAAAUAGUGCUUUCACUUAGAAAAGGCUAGACGUGGUGGUUCAUGCCUGUAAUCCCAGCACUUUGAGAGGCCGAGGCACCAUGCUGGGAGAUAAGGAUC
rnacentral:lncRNA from 1 species